UACGUAGGGGGCGAGCGUUGUCCGGAUUUAUGGGCGUAAAGAGCGUGUAGGCGGCCAGGUAGGUCGCUGUGAAAAACUCGAGGCUCACCUCGAGACGUCGGCGGAAACCAUCUGGCUAGAGUCCGGAAGAGGAGAGUGGAAUUCCUGGUGUAGCGGUGAAAUGCGCAGAUAUCGGGAGGAACACCAAUGGCGAAGGCAGCUGCUGGACGGUACUGACGCUGG
rnacentral:rRNA from 1 species